GACGAACGCUGGCGGCGUGCCUAAUACAUGCAAGUAGAACGCUGAAGGGGGAGCUUGCUUCUCUGGAUGAGUUGCGAACGGGUGAGUAACGCGUAGGUAACCUGCCUGGUAGCGGGGGAUAACUAUUGGAAACGAUAGCUAAUACCGCAUAAUAGUAGAUGUUGCAUGACAUUUGCUUAAAAGGUGCAAUUGCAUCACUACCAGAUGGACCUGCGUUGUAUUAGCUAGUUGGUGGGGUAACGGCUCACAAAGGCGACGAUACAUAGCCUACCUGAGAGGGUGGUCGGCCACACUGGGACUGAGACACGGCCCAGACUCCUACGGGAGGCAGCAGUAGGGAAUCUUCGGCAAUGGACGGAAGUCUGACCGAGCAACGCCGCGUGAGUGAAGAAGGUUUUCGGAUCGUAAAGCUCUGUUGUAAGAGAAGAACGAGUGUGAGAGUGGAAAGUUCACACUGUGACGGUAUCUUACCAGAAAGGGACGGCUAACUACGUG
rnacentral:rRNA from 1 species